GUAUGUGUCCGUGUGUGUGUGUGUGUGUGUGUGUGUGCAGAGAGGCCUCCGCUCACAAUGUUCUCAGCUGUAGGUACCUUGCCUCACCCGGUACAGCGGCUGGAUAACUGAGAGGUGUGGCUCGUAAUGCUCAUUUCAACCAAGAGGUUUGGGAGCUCACUGGGUUGGCGUCACCCAAUCUUUGGCACUGGGUCACCUGCCCAGGCACAGGGCGGCAGGAAGGCUGAGGCAAGAGGACCUGGAAUGUCUGUCCCCAUGGGUGAGCAGAGCAAAAGAUCCCCUUCGUGAAGGGGCGUUGUGGAUUCUCGGGCACCGCCGUGAACACUUGCUCGUGGUCCCUGUGCCCUGGCAGGAUCCUUGGGCCCAGCACAGCGUCUGGCAGGUGCUCAAUCAAUGUUUGUUGAGUGAAUGAAUGAACGGAAGCAUUUAAAUGUGGUGUUUUCAGUGUUUCCAGUGUCCGCGAGGAAGCUGGAGCGCGCAGCGACUUCCCAGGGCCAGCAGUUUUACUCACUCGUUCCACAAAUAUGCACAAGCCCCCGUUGCACAUCAGCCACUGUGCUAAGUACCAGAGGAAAAAAAAUGGGUGACGAGAAUCCCCACCGCGACGACCCGAGGGAGCUCCCAGGCCAGUUGCCAGAUACCUUGACAACCAGGGAGGUGAAAAAUGGUAUCAUCAGCCAGGAGCCAGACCUUGGGGAGAUAGAGACCCAGAGAGGUGAAGAGAGGCACCUGAAAGGACAAUGCCCGCUCAGUUUGGAAACAUGCCCAUCGCAAAUGGAUCGGAUGCUCACAGUGGGGAAAAAAUAAAAUCAGAUAAUGGCUAGAAAUUGCUCUAUUUUACCUUUUUUUUUUUAACCAUAAUUUUUUCCUAAAUCUCUGACAGAUGCUCUUGCUUAUCCGCUAGCAGGCGGCGAAAUGAAUGAACGAAAAGCAAAUGAAUAUUAAACAGACGAUCUCAGUAUUGAUCAUGCUUAAUUCAACAGUUUAUUUUUUUCACGGACAUCUGUGCUUGCCGCUAUGAUUUCAUAUUGCGCACACAUAAGGUAGACGUAUUUUCUGCCAGCAGAAGUAUUCUUCUGAAAAGUGUUUCGUUUCAUAUGGCGCGAUUUAAUAUAUCAAUUAUUUCGUGGCAUUCUGGAAAGGACACCAGGGCGUCCAAAUGCUGUGCCAUCUGAGCCAGUUAAAGAAACUGUCCCUCAGAGAAUGAAGAGCCACUGAAUGGUUUUGAGCAAGGGAAUGAUAUGAAUGGGUCUGCGGAUUUUGGAAGGUCACUCUGGUGACAGCUUGGGGUCAACAUUGGCGCAGGGAGCGACGAAUGCAGUUAAGGACUUGGAAAUCAGAACACUGUUAACAGCAAGAAAUGAUGGCAUCAGUGACAUGAGAGUGGAGUUCGCAUGGAGGGAACAGAGUCAGCAUUCAAAGGGGCCACCCAUUCUCGGUCGGCUAAGCGUCCGACCGGCUCAGGUCAUGGGCUCAAGCCCCGCGUUGGGCUCUGCGCUGACAGCUCAGAGCCUGGAGCUUGCCUGGGACUCUGCGUCUCCCUCUCUCUCUGCCCCCCCUCCCCCACUUGCACUCUGUCUCUCAAAAAAUAAAAUAAAACCUUAAGAAAUUUUAAAAAUGGUU
rnacentral:lncRNA from 1 species